rnacentral:rRNA from 1 species
UACGAAGGGGGCUAGCGUGGCUCGGAAUUACUGGGCGUAAAGCGCACGUAGGCGGAUCAUUAAGUCGGGGGUGAAAUCCUGGAGCUCAACUCCAGAACUGCCUUCGAUACUGGCGAUCUUGAGUCCGGGAGAGGUGAGUGGAACUCCGAGUGUAGAGGUGAAAUUCGUAGAUAUUCGGAAGAACACCAGUGGCGAAGGCGGCUCACUGGCCCGGUACUGACGCUGAGGUGCGAAAGCGUGGGGAGCAAACAGG